AUUCCAAUCGAACUCGGAGAUAGCUGGUUCUCCCCGAAAUAGCUUUAGGGCUAGCCUCGUUUUAAAUUACCGGGGGUAGAGCACUGAAUGGGCUAGGGGGCCACAAAGCUUACCGAACCCUAUCAAACUUCGAAUACCGGAUAAUUGAUGAACGGGAGUCAGACGGCGGGAGAUAAGUUUCGUCGUCAAAAGGGAAACAGCCCAGAUCUACGACUAAGGUCCCGAAAUCACAGUUAAGUGGAAAAGGAUGUGCAGUUGCACAGACAACCAGGAUGUUGGCUUAGAAGCAGCCACUCAUUUAAAGAGUGCGUAAUAGCUCACUGGUCGAGUGAUUGUGCGCCGAAAAUGUACCGGGGCUAAACUGUGUACCGAAGUCUAGGGAUCGGAAACGAUCGGUAGGGGAGCAACGUGUGCGGGCUGAAGCCGAAGCGGAAGCGACGGUGGACUGCACGGGAGAGAGAAUGCCGGCAUGAGUAGCGAGAGCAAAGUGAGAAUCUUUGCCGUCGAAAGCCUAAGGUUUCCUGAGGAAGGCUCGUCCUCUCAGGGUAAGUCAGGACCUAAGCCGAGGACAAAAGUCGUAGGCGAUGGACAACUGGUUGAUAUUCCAGUACCACCUUUAGCGUUUGACUGAAGCAGUGACACAGAAGGAUAGACAGAGCGCGUGACUGGUAGAGCGCGUCCAAGCGAUGAGGGAGUUGAUUAGUGAAGUACGGUCAACAAUCCUGGGUCGUGAUGGGGACUGAAAAUAAGUAGGGAAGCUGUUGAAUUCACGCUGGCGAGAAAAGCUGCUAAGGAGCGAAAGGGUGCCUGUACCGCAAACCGACACAGGUAGGCGAGGAGAGAAUCCUAAGACGAGCGGGAGAACCCAUGUUAAGGAACUCGGCAAAAUGACCCUGUAACUUCGGGAUAAAGGGAGCCACGAGAGUGGCCGCAGAGAAUAGGCCCAAGCGACUGUUUACCAAAAACACAGGUCUGUGCGAAGUAGAGAUACGACGUAUACGGGCUGACGCCUGCCCAGUGCCGGAAGGUUAAGGGGAAGUGUUAGGGCAACCGAAGCACGGAACUUAAGCCCCGGUGAACGGCGGCCGUAACUAUAACGGUCCUAAGGUAGCGAAAUUCCUUGUCGGGUAAGUUCCGACCCGCACGAAUGGCGUAACGACUUGGGCACUGUCUCAACAUGGGACCCGGCGAAAUUGUAGUAUGUGUGAAGAUGCACAUUACCCGCGAUAGGACGGAAAGACCCCGUAGAGCUUUACUGUAGUUUAACAUUGGAUUUCGGUAACAUAUGUACAGGAUAGGUGGGAGGCGAAGAACCAGGGACGCCAGUUUCUGGGGAGCCGACCUUGGGAUACCACUCUUGUGUUAUUGGAGUUCUAACGAAUUGCCGUGACCCGGGAUUCGGACAGUGUUAGAUGGGCAGUUUGACUGGGGCGGUCGCCUCCCAAAGAGUAACGGAGGCGUCCAAAGGUUCCCUCAGAAUGGUUGGAAACCAUUCGCAGAGUGUAAAGGCAGAAGGGAGCUUGACUGCGAGACCGACAGGUCGAGCAGGUGCGAAAGCAGGGCUUAGUGAUCCGGCGGUAUGAGAGUGGAAUUGCCGUCGCUCAACGGAUAAAAGCUACCUCGGGGAUAACAGGCUUAUCUCCCCCAAGAGUCCACAUCGACGGGGAGGUUUGGCACCUCGAUGUCGGCUCGUCGCAUCCUGGGGCUGAAGCAGGUCCCAAGGGUUUGGCUGUUCGCCAAUUAAAGCGGCACGCGAGCUGGGUUCAGAACGUCGUGAGACAGUUCGGUCCCUAUCUGUUGCGGGCGUAAGAGAUUUGAAGGGAGCUGUCCUUAGUACGAGAGGACCGGGAUGGACGUACCUCUGGUGCACCAGUUGUCCUGCCAAGGGCAUAGCUGGGUAGCUAUGUACGGACGAGAUAAACGCUGAAAGCAUCUAAGCGUGAAACUCUCCCUAAGAUGAGAUCUCUCAUCCAUUAUGGAGUAAGGGCCCAGAAAGACGAUCUGGUUGAUAGGCCGGAGGUGGAAGCGCGGUAACGUGUGCAGCUGACCGGUACUAAUAGCCCGAGGGCUUGACCU
rnacentral:rRNA from 1 species